rnacentral:rRNA from 1 species
UACGGAGGAUGCGAGCGUUAUCCGGAUUUAUUGGGUUUAAAGGGUGCGUAGGCGGAUCGUUAAGUCAGUGGUCAAAUUGAGGGGCUCAACCCCUUCCCGCCAUUGAAACUGGCGAUCUUGAGUGGAAGAGAAGUAUGCGGAAAGCGUGGUGUAGCGGUGAAAUGCAUAGAUAUCACGCAGAACCCCGAUUGCGAAGGCAGCAUGCCGGCUUCCUACUGACGCUGAAGCACGAAAGCGUGGGGAUCGAACAGG